rnacentral:rRNA from 1 species
GACGAACGCUGGCGGCGUGCUUAACACAUGCAAGUCGAACGGAAAGGCCCUGCUUUUGUGGGGUGCUCGAGUGGCGAACGGGUGAGUAACACGUGAGUAACCUGCCCUUGACUUUGGGAUAACUUCAGGAAACUGGGGCUAAUACCGGAUAGGAGCUCCGGCUGCAUGGUGGGGGUUGGAAAGUUUCGGCGGUUGGGGAUGGACUCGCGGCUUAUCAGCUUGUUGGUGGGGUAGUGGCUUACCAAGGCUUUGACGGGUAGCCGGCCUGAGAGGGUGACCGGCCAAAUUGGGACUGGGAUACGGCCCGGACUCCUACGGGAGGCAGCAGUGGGGAAUAUUGCACAAUGGGCGGAAGCCUGAUGCAGCAACGCCGCGUGCGGGAUGACGGCCUUCGGGUUGUAAACCGCUUUCGCCUGUGACGAAGCGUGAGUGACGGUAAUGGGUAAAGAAGCACCGGCUAACUACGUG